AGCAGCCGCGGUAAUUCCAGCUCCAAUAGCGUAUAUUAAAGUUGUUGCAGUUAAAAAGCUCGCAGUUGAACUUCGGGGUUUACCCAUUGGUCAGGCUUAAUUGUCUGUACUGGUGAGAUGAAUCUCUACCUUCUGAGGAACUUUCAUGCCAUUUAUUUGGUGUGAUGGGAAAUCAGGACUGUUACUUUGAAAAAUUAGAGUGUUUAAAGCAGGCUAACGUCUGAAUACAUUAGCAUGGAAUAAUGAAAUAGGACGGACUGAUUCUAUUUCGUUGGUUUCUAGGAUCACCGUAAUGAUUAAUAGGGAUAGUUGGGGGCAUUAGUAUUCAAUUGCCAGAGGUGAAAUUCUUGGAUUUAUGAAGACUAACUACUGCGAAAGCAUUUGCCAAGGAUGUUUUCAUUAAUCAAGAACGAAAGUUAGGGGAUCGAAGACGAUCAGAUACC
rnacentral:rRNA from 1 species